rnacentral:rRNA from 1 species
UACGUAGGGUGCGAGCGUUGUCCGGAAUUACUGGGCGUAAAGAGCUCGUAGGUGGUUUGUCGCGUUGUUCGUGAAAACUCACAGCUUAACUGUGGGCGUGCGGGCGAUACGGGCAGACUGGAGUACUGCAGGGGAGACUGGAAUUCCUGGUGUAGCGGUGAAAUGCGCAGAUAUCAGGAGGAACACCCCGUGGCGAAGGCGGCUCUCUGGGACGGUACUGACGCUGAGACGCGAAAAGCGUGGGGGAGCGAACAGG